rnacentral:lncRNA from 1 species
CUGGAAGCCUGACCUAGGAGUACAGAGAGGUCCCGACUUUGACUUUGGUGGGUCGACUUCUCUUGGCUGAGGCAUGAUGUAAGGACUGUUGGGUGUCGUGUCUGAAUAUAAGAUUUUGGGGAUGGAUUAAUCCAGUGUAUCCCACUAAGUAGCAGUCCACAGACCCUUCCACAUGGCAGGAAGCUCAGAGAGGAUCACCUACCCCAGUGGCCUGGGCUUCCCACACAAAUCUAGGUUCUCCCUGAAGACUAUCAAUGGGAAAUCUCCGACUCUGCAAAAAAGGACAGGUUCCCCCUACUCUGACAACCAGCAGUCAACACAGGAGAGAUCUACAACCAAGUGUGUGCAUGUGUGUGUGGUGUAUGCGGUGGAGGGUGAUCUUUCACAUGAAGCAUGAAAUCAGUUGUGCAGAGGACACCAUCUGGGCGUGACACCAUCUGGGCAUCUCAUCCAAUUCUGACACCAUCUACUGAAAUAUAGCAUCAGACGCUGCAGGUUUGGGGGCUCAGUUCCCAAGACCCCCACCCUCCACUUCAGACGUCAGUCCCAAAUCCCUACCUGUGACGCAUGCUGCAAAUUGGGGUUCCCACAGCCCUCUGCUCAGGUUCGAUUAAUUUGCUACGGAAGCUCAUGAAACUAGGGAAACACUUCCUCACCUUUACCACUUUAUUAUAAAGGGUGCUGAUGAACAUAAAGCAUAUUGCUGAACACCAGGUGAGGAGGUGCCUAGGGCAAGGAACAGGAAGAGGAAGAGCCCGUGUGCUGCCUGAGAGCCGUUGUCCCCCAAACCUGAAUGCAUGUGUGGAACUUUCAUUACUCAGACAUGAUUCAUUACAUCAUGGGCCACUGAUAGAAUUUCUUAGGACCAGCUCCCAUUGUGAAGCCACCUACAGACCCUUGGUCACUGGUCAAGUCAGUAUCAUAUAAAAAGACACAUCACUUUGAAGAUUUCCAGGCAUUUGAAAGAAUGGGUUUUAGAACAUGACAGAAGAACAAUUCUGAGAUGUCCUCAAUUUAAUGACAAAGGCCAGAGGAUGGAAGGGGAAGAGAUAAGGGGAAUUAAUGAGUUAGAGACUCAGGCCCAACCAAGCUGGAUAAAACCUUGACUUAAAGCCUCAGGUGGCCGUCCAGCCACCAGGUGCCACCAGUGUCCUGCUGACAGAGGAAGUGUCCAGACCAUUAACCCCAACCAAUCCAGAAGCACCAGAACUUCA